AAACCUCACCCAGCCUGGACACAGACAAGCUGGACAGACAGAGCUCUUUCUCAAUUCCAUGUGUGGUGGUGCCUGGCCAUUCACGGUGGAGUGAUUUCUAGUUAAUUCCAAUAACGAACAAGACUUCAGCAUGCUAAUUCAUUAUGCAACACACCCUCCUGCAGUGGUCGACAUCCAACUUCUUCAAGGGACAAGUGGCAUUCAGCAACAUGAGAUGCAGCAACAACAAGGCUGUGAUGCCCUUUACUGUG
rnacentral:ncRNA from 1 species